ACUUUAUGUAAUUAAUUGUAGAAAAUACAAACAUCUUUCUUGGAAACACCUAAAACUUGUAGCUUAGAUUCUUUAUCAGUUAAUUCCAAACAGAACACAUCCCAAAAUUUUACUCCUGUUAAUGUGAACAAGUUGGAAUGCGCAGAGAAGUCUUGUUGGACACCUGCAAAGACAUAUACUGUGAAAACACCUCCUAAAUCAAAACUGUUACAAGAAAGCUCCAAUCUACUUUCAGAAGAAGGAACACAGAAAAGGAGAAAAGUUUUCCUAGAACUGGAUAGUCGAUCAGACACCUCUGAGAGCAAUGAUCUCUUGAGUAUCACAUCAGAUCAAGAAAGGGUUAAAAAACUGUACAAAGAUUAUCCACAAGCUUCUCGCCUAUGUGCCAUGACACCAAAAAAGGUAUCUUUUUAGUAUGACUUUAAAACAGAAUAAAUGUUACAACGUGCUUCUUACAAAAAUAAAUUGAUAUUUUAAUAUUUUUUAAAGGUCCACACUCUAUCCUGUCAGAAAACUGGAU